rnacentral:rRNA from 1 species
GACGAACGCUGGCGGCGUGCUUAACACAUGCAAGUCGAACGGAAAGGCCCCUUUGGGGGUACUCGAGUGGCGAACGGGUGAGUAACACGUGAGUAACCUGCCCUUGACUUCGGGAUAACUUCAGGAAACUGGGGCUAAUACCGGAUAGGAAUCCUUGCUGCAUGGUGGGGGUUGGAAAGCUUCGGCGGUUUUGGAUGGACUCGCGGCCUAUCAGCUUGUUGGUGGGGUAGUGGCUUACCAAGGCUUUGACGGGUAGCCGGCCUGAGGGGGCGACCGGCCACCAUGGGACUGGGGUACGGCCCAGACUCCUACGGGAGGCAGCAGUGGGGAAUAUUGCACAAUGGGCGGAAGCCUGAUGCAGCAACGCCGCGGGCGGGAUGACGGCCUUCGGGUUGUAAACCGCUUUCAGCAGGGGCGAAGCUUGUGGUGACGGUACCUGCAGAAGAAGCACCGGCUAACUACGUG